UUUUUUUUUUUUUUUUUUUGCACUACUGUAUUCAUCCCCUACUCUUUUACCUUUUUUUUUUUUUUUUUAAUAUGGGUUAAACGCAUCCUUGUCCUCUAAUCAUUUCCACAAUAUAGGGCCAGGUGGUGUGCCAGCAGGUUUCAUGGAAAUGUAAGCACUAUAAAGUUCUAAUCCAGCCAUAGGAGUAUUAAGAAAUGGCCAUCAUUAAAUUAGGGACGAAUCUUUGAAACUUGUUUAAUCGUUUGCAAUUCUUGUGCAUUACUUCAGCUCUAGUUUAUAUGGUAAAACACAUUCUCCAUGUCGGUGAGGGAUUAACUUUCAUUUUGAUUAAAUUAGGCAAAUCAUAUAUUUUUUUCCAUUCCAUAAUAAUUCUCUAACACUUCACCUUCCUUCGCAUCAUAAAAUGCAAGGCAAAGUAUUAAAAGCAAUUCUUGAAGUACAAAUGUCUCUUGUUUUAAAUUAAGAGCGAAAUAAGUCAUUUUAUAAUUUGGGAUCAAUUAGUCUAUAGUAAAUGUAUCACAUGAGAAAAAGGGCAUUUAGGGCUUGUUCUCAACUGAUAUUGAUUUUAUAAAAGUUGAUUUUAUAAAUUUGAUUUUUGAAAAUCAAAUUCUUUAGAAUACUCAUCUGUUCUCAUUUACUAUUAGAAAAGCCAUUAUAAUAAAUGCGUAGGUAUUCUAAAAAAAAAAAGUUAAAAAGCUGAUUUUGAUAGAAAGAUGACCUUGUUACCCUUAUGUGUUGCAAAAAUACAUUUCUGUGCUAAUUAAAUAAAUUUUUAAUUUAAUUAAUUAAUUUUCUUAUGAAGAUUAAAUGGCGGAUGCGAAAAUUAAAGUUUACGUAGAUGAAUCUGAAAGUGAGAUAAGAAUUGGAAGAAAAUAGAAAGACUAUAAAAAGUUACCUAAUUAAUCGUUAGGUAGUUUAGUAAUUAUGUUAAAAUUUGAAGGGUAAUUUAGUCUAAAUGAAAAAGAAGGCCAAAAUCAAAAUACAAACGCAACUCAAAACCUGCUUCUGAUUUUCAACUUUUUUUGGACCCGAAAAAUCUAAAAUCAAUUUUUUAAAAUCAAUUGAGAACACAAUAAAAUAAUUUUUUGAAAAUCAAAAGCUAAAAUCAGGUUUCCAAAAUCAGUUGAGAACAAAACCUUAGCAAAAACUACAACUUUGUGACAUGGAAAUUAUGAUAAGAACAGAAGUAAAUUCUUAAUUAGAUACUACAAGUCCUUAUUUCAGUAAAUUAGCCAAUUGGAACUCCAAAUUCCUAGCACCUUCCAAAAAGGAGAGAAUUAAACACAUUAAACAACAGCUUUAAUUACGAUGACCUUUUUAUAUAAUAAUCUUGGUUCAAGGAAAAAAAAAAAUCAUCCAACGACCAAGGAUACGAUAAAGAAUUACAUAGGUACAUCAAAGUCAAAUUGACGUCUACAAGCAAGCGUAUUUAUGAUUUGAUUUUUAAAAGGCAAAGAAAAGAAAAAUCAAAAGGUGGGAGAUACAAAUGCAAAUAUAACAAGAGUUUGAAAACCGUAGAACUUAACUUUCUUUUACUUUUAUUUUUUUACUGUUGGUCUUAACUUUCUUCAGCUGCCUUUGUCUCAUAGAACACACAUCACAGACUGUCCAAAUACAUUUAUAUGUCGUCAUUUGAUGUAUUCAGCUGUGACAUCAGACACUGCUAAAACAGUGAAACAAUUUUGGUGAAGUAUAGAAGAUUGCCAUUUUCAGUGUCGUAGCCAAAUCAUGAUCAGAUCAAGAACAUGGUGUUCAAUUUUCCCUUUUUUUUUUGGGAUAAUUGCAGAAACCUCCCCUGAAAUUUCUGACAUUUGCACUGACCUCCCCUCUAGGUUUUGAAAUUGUAUUCACCUCCCCUGAACAGUAACAAUUCGUUGCAGAAACCUCCCUGACAGCUUUUGUAGAAGUGAGAUAAGAAAUUUCUUCCAAUUUUGCCCUCUUCUUGCUUGACAAUUAUUAUUUGCUUGACAAUUGCUUAACUAAUUAUCUAAUUAGUUAAUAGUUAAACUAAUUAACUAUUAACUAAUUAUCUGAUUAAUUAUUAACUAAUUAACUAAUUAUCUAAUUAAUUAAUUAACUAAUUAUCUAAUUUAUAUUUAUCUAAUUAACUGCUUAACUAAUUAACUAAUUAACUGAAGCUGUUGUCUGUCCAAAACUAACAAACUAUUUGCAUGUUAAACUAAUUAACUAAUUAACUGCUUAACUAAUCAACUAAUUAACUAACUAACUAAUUAACAGACUAUUUGCAUGUUAAACUAUAUGCAGUACGCAUUACCUAUUUAAAGUAUCGGCUCUUUAUGAGUAUUUUACUUUCAAACAUUUAAUUUAUGAUAAAAACAUCAAUGUUUGUAAGUAAAAUUUAAAAAGUGUUACAGUAAUAUUCUUACAAAAAGGGAGGGGCAUAUGGCCAUAAAUUAAAUGUUUGAAAGUAAGAAUCUUGAUAUUUUUUGUAACACUUUUUGAAUUUUACUUACAAACAUUGAUAUUUUUAUCAUAAAUUAAAUGUUUGAAAGUAAAAUACCUAUAAAGAGCCAAUACUUUAAAUAGGUAAUGCGUACUGCAUAUAGUUUAACAUGCAAAUAGUUUGUUAAUUAGUUAGCUAAUUAAUUAAUUAGUUAAUUAGUUAAGCAGUUAAUUAGUUAAUUAGUUUAACAUGCAAAUAGUUUGUUAGUUUUGGACAGACAAUAGCUUCAGUUAAUUAGUUAAUUAAUUAAUUAGAUAAUUAGUUAGUUAAUUAGUUAAUUAGUUUAAUAUGCAAAUAGUUUGUUAGUUUCGGAUAGACAAUAGCUUUAGUUAAUUAGUUAAUUAGAUAAACAGAAAUUAGUUAAUUAGUUAAUUAAUUAGAUAAUUAGUUAGUUAAUUAGUUAAUUAGUUUAACAUGCAAAUAGUUUGUUAGUUUCGGACAGACAACGGCUUUAGUUAGUUAGUUAAUUAGUUAAGCAGUUAAUUAGUUAAUUAGUUUAACAUGCAAAUAGUUUGUUAGUUUCGGAUAGACAACAACUUUAGUUAAUUAGUUAAUUAGAUAAUUAGAUAAUUAGUUAAUUAUAUAAACAAAAAUUAGUUAAUUGAUUAAUUGGAUAAUUAGUUAGUUAAUUAGUUAAGCAGUUAAUUAGUUAAUUAUUUUAACAUGCAAAUAGUUUGUUAGUUUCGGAUAGACAACAACUUUAGUUAAUUAGAUAAACAAAAAUUAGUUAAUUAAUUAAUUAGAUAAUUAGGUAGUUAAUUAGUUAAGCAGCUAAUUAGUUAAUUAGUUUAACAUGCAAAUAGUUUAUUAGUUUCGGAUAGACAACGGCUUUAGAUAAUUAGUUAAUUAGUUAAUUAGAUAAAUAGAUAUUAAUUAAUUAGAUAAACAGAAAUUAGUUAAUUAGUUAAUAGUUAAUUAGUUUAAUUAUGCAGAAAUAGUUUGAUUAGUUAAUAACUAUUAACAAUUAGAUAAUUAGUUAAUUAGUUAAUAGUUAAUUAGAUAAUUAGUUAUUAAUUAAUUAGAUUAUUAGUUAUUUAGUUAAUUAGUUAAACUAUGCAGAAAUAGUUAAUUUAGUGUAAUUUUUAUUAACAAAUGUUUUGUUGGGUUUGGUGAAAGUACUCAUCACAUUCAUUUGGUAAAAUUAAAUCAUGUCAGGGGUACUUUAGUAAAUUGACCCACUUUUGCCUAUUAAAUUGCCUCCAACUUUUGAUAGGGGAGGUCAGUGCUAUUUCGAAAUUAAUAGGGGAGGUCAAUGCUAUUACUAUAAAAGUUAGGGGAGGUUUCUGCAAUUAUCCCUUUUUUUUUUGUUUUUUUGGCCCACUUCUUCUUAUUUAUUCCUUUUCUGUACCUAAUUUAGAGAUAAUAUGGAAGAAGAACAUUAUAGGGGGAUUAUAGGAAAACUACAAUCCUUUCUGAUGAGUUGCAUCUUCUCUUAGAUUAGAUGAAAAUCAUAAAUUCAUCACCGACAAAGUCCAAAAUAGCCACCUGGAAAAUUUGGCCGCCUUAAUCAUUAGCAAGCAAUGAAAUUUUUACAUUUGAGAUUACAGAUUGCGUCACAUCAUCUAAUCCAACAUUUGGGCAUGGUCAUUUACGUCUAACUGAAUGAGGUACAAGCAAUAGAGACAAAACUAUCAUCCCUAAGACCCCGCUUGGAGUUGCAGUGCGUUUACAAAAAAAAAAAAAAAAAAAAAAAAAGCAUUUAAGCAUUAAAAGUACUUGUAAGUUGUUUGACAACUAAUUUUUCGUUAUUUAAAUAGCCCAAUUUUUGGUAGUUUAAAAGCAUUUGUAUCAUAAGUGUUUUUUUAAAAGCUAUCGCAGUUUUAGAUGGGACGUAAAUCUCUUUAAAUUCUUUUUUUUUUUGUUAGUGACCAUAUAAAUUGUAGGCUUCAUAUCACCGUUUUUUUCUAUAAAAAUGUAAAAUUUUAUUAGAAAAUAGGCUACAAUUCAAGUUGGAUGGCUAGUUGAAAAUUUUUAUAGUAACCUAUCUCUUCUUUUGAUAUUUUAUUUUGCCUGAAUGUGAUUGAUGGCAUAGAAUAGAACACCCGUUCUCUUUCCACACGGACUACUGACAAAAACAGUAAACCGUAGCUAUCUGUUGAGGACAAUAUUUUUGAGAUUUAUAUUGCCUAAUAUAAAGUUUGGACAAACGGGCAUUUGGUCUAGUGGCAUGAUUCUCGCUUAGGGUGCGAGAGGUCCCGAGUUCAAUUCUCGGAAUGCCCCAACAUUUGUGCUAAUUUUUUUUUUGACAGGAAACUGCUCGAGUCAUUAAGCCACAUUACAGACCAGGUAAAGCAAAUGUCAUCAAAAUCUGAACAGUACUAGUAUUUAAGUGAACCAAAGGUGGAAUUCUCUCUUUAUAUUAUACAUCCCAACAACAUAGUACAUUUACACUUGAUCUAGAGAAAAAUAACUACAACUCCCCUAGUAAUUUUAUUGGCAUGGGAAGGGGCCAGUUGAAUGGAACAGUUUGUAAUUGGAUGAUGAACUUGUUAGAGGCCUAAGGUCCACAGCAUUUCAUGCCAUAUCUUCUUCCCACAAUCUUUAUUGUCAUUCUUCCCCAUGCUAGCUCCAAAUCUUCAAAAGGUCUUAGACAUAAUUCAUGCCCAAGAGUAGCAAAAUUUUCUCCACAAAUGGGGAAGCAUCCUCACUACGAGUAGAACGUAUACUACUACGCGAAAUCAAUGAUACAUCAAAACGUGCCAGACCCAAAAUUACGAUUGUUGCUCAAAGGACCAAAAGGACUUCCUGCAUCAUUACUUUUGGCCGCCGCAAGUGUUUUUUGUUCCCUCUUCAAUGCCUUCAUGGAUUCCUUCCGCCUUGGAAGCAGGGCCUUGUUGCCCCCUAAAAACACCCCACAGAUAAUACUUCCCCUGAAAUCCUGUAAAAGGCAUUUGUUAAGACACUCAAUUCUAAGCAAGUCUAAAACGCUAAAGUGUCUCAUCAAUUAAAGGAGAUGCAACUCACUCCAGUAACUAAGUGGCAGUUCAUUAGAGGCAAAAAUCAAGAGCUCUGCAUUUUUGACAAUUGCUUUCAUAGCAAGUUCUUGGUCCAUCAUCUCCUCAACCAAACAAUCAAAAAGCCCUUCAGACCUGCAGGUAAGAGCCUCAGAGUUCAAAAUGAGCCAAAUUUUGGACAAAUAAAGUGGGUUAGGGCAGGGCCAAGUACUGAAAGCAAUACCUUUUAUCCAAUGGAAAGAAAUAUAGUGCAAUAUUGUCAUCAGAUGGCUGUGAUUUUUGAAAACUCUUUGGCCAGCAAUCCAUUUUGGCAAGCAUUUCCAGUUCAAGCGCUGAUGGCAACAAGAUUGCCUCCUCAUAUACUUUCUCACAUGCUUUGCUAGAUAAAUGAGCUACUAAUCCAUCAUCAAAUUCUUGAUAAUCCUUGUUCAGUAUGACAAAAUUUCCUCUGUAAGUAAAUUAGGAAAGAAAGUCAACAUGGUCACUAAGCAUGUAUUUAUUUAAUUUUUUUAAGCAAACAUGUAUAACUUAGUUCACCAAUAACAUAUAAACCAAAUAAUCAUCAACCUCCAGAUUGGCUCAAUACGUGGCACUGCCUGUUCACGAUUGUCAACGGUUAAAUUAUUUUCUAAAUGACCUGAUGCUAAUUGAGAACCCUCCAAGCAUUCCUCAGCACCUUUUUGUGGCAAAUUAGCUGAUGAAACUUUAACCUCCAUUCUCUCCUUUUUGAGCAUCUCGAGCAAAGACAGCUCAUGAUCAUCCACCUUGGCUGCUGGGCAAGAAGUCUCGUUCAUCUCUAAUUCUGUAGACAAUGGAGUAUUGGUUGCACUAGCAGCAUGCUGAUCUUGCUCAGUGUGCCCAUGCUGUGGUCCUCUUCUUUUUCUUUCUUCGCUGGUGAUGACCAUCUUUUGUCCUUCAAGACCUUUUAAAGUUGUAUUAUUCCUUCCCUCACGAGCACUGUUGCUUUUCUCUGCUAGCUCCAGCUCUGUGCUUUCUUCAACCAGAUGAAAUCUAUGGUCCACCUCGGCUACUGAGCAAAAGCCCACAUUCUCCUUGCAUUCUGCUGACAACGGAGAAUUGGAAGUCAAUUCAUCAUGUAGUGAAGAUAACUCAUGUUCUAUGUUGCUUCUCUCUGUCAACUCCAGCUUUCUAUCUGUAUCACCAGUUUGAAGUCUAUGAUCUUCCACCUCAGCUACUGAGCAACAAGCCUCUUUCUCCUUUAAAUCUGUUGACAAUGAACUGGUAGCCAAAACAGUAUCUUGAACUUGCUCAGAGGGGCUAACCCUAAGCUGCAGUAUUUUUCUUUUUCUGCCUUUGCUGGCAACAACCAUCUCUUCUCCUUCAAUAUCUUUUGAGCUUGUAUCCAAGCCAUUGCUUUUCUCUGUUAGCUCUAGGUCUGUGCUUGCAUCAACCAGUUGAAAUCUAUGAUCUUUCACCUUGGUUGCUGAGCAAGAGCCCUCUUUCUUCUCCAACCCUGUUAAUAGUGGAGAGCUCAUAGCCAGUUCAACAUCUUCAAGUAGACUAGAGGGGCUACUUUCAAGUCUUUCAUCGUUUUCCUGUCCUAACAGUGCUACACUCUUUUUCUUCGGCCUCAGUCUUGGUCUUCUUCUUUCUCCAUCAACGACUGUCAACUGUCCAUCAACAUCUUUAAAGCUAGUAUGGACCCUUUCCUCAUCUUGAACAGGGUUAAAUUUCGUGGAAGGUAAUUCCUUUGACAAGUCAACCUCACAUAUAUCACAAACCCAAUGGACGAAUUCAUCGAGUUUUUCUGGCAACUUAUCUAGGCAAUAUCUGCAGAGGAAGCAAAUGGUAAAGCAAACGAAAAACAUUUAACUCUCAGACUGAUCCACCUCCAACACAAAAACCAAAAAUCAUGAAAAUCAAGCGUAUAGUUGUACAUUUUUAUAUUAAGAAGAAACGUGCCUGUUAUCUUUAAUGAAAUUAAAUACUCAGGCCAAAAAGCACGAUAAGUAAUGUGCAGUAGUAGUGAAGCAAUUAUGUUUUGAAUUUUAAAGUAUGACAAUUCUGCUGCACUAUACUUGUUUGAUCAACUUGUGUGUUGCAGGGUGUUUGAAUGCAUAGAUGCACACAGCAGGUAAUGUCUCUGUGUUUGUUUUGGCGUACAAAAUUUUUUUUUUGGGGUGUUGGGGGGGGGGGGGUUAUUUAUAGCCAAAUAGGUGCAGAAAUCAUGGAAGACUAGAGGUACCAAUUCAACAUACCUGUGAAUAAAAUAUUUCUGACACUUCACACAUUCAUUCAAUGCACUAGAAAAUCCUUUGCCACCACAUUGCAGGCAAACUCUCACCUGCAACACCAAGCAAACAGAUUGUAGUAUCAUAUAGACAGCCAAAUAACAUGAGCUUAAGGCCAUUGGGCCUGCAAACACCAUCAAAUUUGAUAAAAUAGCAAUUAUCCAAGAAUAUCUGUUGGAUAUCCAUUAUGCCAGCAAUUAUCCAAGAAUAUCUGUUGGAUAUCCAUUAUGCCACUAAGAAGAAAAUAUUUGGCAGGGGAUAACGCUUACCCUUUGACGGAGGUCAGACAAGGGCACAAUUAGAGUAAACUCAGACAUACAAAAAGGUACAUAAUUCUUCCCCAAAACCAGACACCUUGAGCAAACAAAUGAAACUCGUUUUUGCAGAAGAAAGAUAAUUGUGAGAACUCUAUAGAUUAUUGCAACGCAAGAGUAUGAGCAAGCAUUCUAAACCAAAAGCUGUUCAAAGCAUCUAAGGUGGCAUGUUCAUUCAGCAAAUGAUAUACUACAAAAGAAUGUUUGAGUGCCAUUCAGAACAUGAAUAUUAACUUAGAACUUUGAUAACAACUUGGUUUGAGUUCUCAUAUUUACCCACCAUAUGUGUCAACUACUAAGAAAUCAAAUUACUGAAAGAAGUAGAAAAAGGAAGUUUCAUCAACUUCUAUUGUUUCACAGUCAGGUCAGAAAAGACCAGCACAUAUAUGAAUGCCAAAAUAUUACAGCAUGCCACGGAAAAAGUUGUCAUAUGUCAUGAGUUCCUCAGCAAUGGAUGAUACCAGUAUUAAUUCUGAUCUUAGGUAGGUUAUCAACAAGAAGAAUGUUGCACUGUGCAGUAAACUUGUCAAAUCCUCAGAAUAUUGUUACUUCCCCAAAAAAUCUGCCAAAUAUGGCUGUGUGGAACUCGCGUACUAAAGUAUGCCCGUCGCGCCAUGUAGGCAUGACGGGAGGUCAAUAUUUUAAAAAAAAAAAAGACAAAGGGCCAUCGGCCCUACAUUGCGUGACAGCUGACACCUUUGAAAAAAAAUAUGGCCUGUCACACCAUGUUGGACCGAUGGCCCUGUCUUUUUAAAAAAAAAAAAAAAAAAAAUCUUGACCUCCUGUCGCGCCAUGCAUACUUUAAUACACGAGUUCCACACAACCAUCUUGGGCAGAUUUUUUUUUGGAAGGACAAAUAUUCUGAGGAUUUGCCCAGUAAACUUGGUAAACAGAAUUAAGUAAAAAAGAAAAAAAGAACAAUAAUGCCAUUAAAUAUGUCCGCUGAUGAAUCUACAACAUGUACAAGAAGUACUUUCACUUUGUAUGGAACAAACCAUUCCAUCUUCAGAAUUUGAAAAACACAGAGUAGACUAAACAUCAAAAGAAGAAGCCCUAGGAUCUGAUACAUCUCUAUAGUACAGUCAGGUCAGUCUUACCGAAUCACAACAUGAACUCCAAUAAACCAACCUAUCAGAUGAUCAGAAACAUGUUCUUUGAUUACCUUUUUAUCUUCUCAGCAUUACACCUUGUGAAAAGGGAAUGCCUUUUAUACUUUAGAAAGAAAGGACUCCUACAGCAUCAUAUCCAUUUUAUCAACAAACUAAAAUUAUUCAUCCGUCUUUAUCCUGACGGUGCACGGAUAAUUUUGACCCUCUUCAGCAACUCUCCUCAAAACCAAAAACAACUCCACCACGACACAUAUGCCAACUGCACUAUGUUCUCUAUAUUCAUUUUCCCUACUAAUCAUAUUGCCAUAGACACUUAUAAAUUUGCUGAUUAAAUAACCAAACAGAUAAAGAAAAGGGACUGCAUAGUUACAAAAUUUCCCAGAUAAUUGGACCCCCAAUUCCAAAACUUUCCCGGGCCCCAAAUGGAAGGAUGAAACUUUAGAAGUAAUUCCUUCCUACAAAAGGAUGAAUCCCGGAACCAAAUUAUCAAAUCAGCAUUCAAUGAACAGAAACUCAAAGAUUACUCCUUUAGAAAAAAAAAAAAAGGAUUAUUAUCUGCAUGCAACAAGAUAUACUACAUUUCAUGUUUGGACUAUGUCCAAUUCCAAGCAUCAAGUACAACAGAAAUUCGCUAAAAAAAAUAUAUACACAUUCAACAAAAUAUGGAAGAAAAAACUACCAUGGUGGGAUAAUUUGAAGAGCCCGGGAAGAAACCAAUCAAAGCUGACUAAUUUCAGGAAAAUCCCAUCAUAGACCUCAUUUCCACAGCCAAACUAGAAGAGCCCUAAUAGUGAAAUUCUGUUCUUUAAAAGAGUAAAACCUCAAGGCCCUCUUUGGAUUGGCAAAGAAUACUAGUGAAAAUUUUGUCAGGGCUUUUUCCUGCGACUGAUUAGUGACAAUUCAAUAAUGGGGAUUUUGAGGAGCUCUAUUUUCUUUUUUUCCCCCACUUUCUUUUUCGAAUUUUUCAGCAACCCUGUAUAAAUAGCGCCAACAGAAAAGAAGAACAGAGGAGUGUAAAGUCCGGAGAGUACAGGCACCGAGCGGCGAGAAAAUGGAACUUGGGUUGGCGUUGGUGCUUCACGCGCUGGCUGCCCGGGUAAAUUUUUGAGGUUUUCGUUUCUAUUGAUGUUUUGGGGGUAUUUGGUUUGUUAAUUUUUGGAUUUUUAAUGAUUUUCAUGCUGUAAAUUUGAUAAUACUUGAUCAAAUUAACUAACAAAAGUUAAUAUAUAAACUCAAGAUUUGAUAACCAUGUAAACUUAAUAUAUGAAUGCUAACAAAAGUUAGAAAAAAUAAAGACAAGAAGCUCAAAUAGGAAAAUGUAUUAUUCUUUAGGGAAAUCAGAAAUGUUAUUUGCGUUCCAUUUUUUGUUAUUUAUACUCUCACCAUUUGUUUUAUCACAUAGUCUAAUAAAUAAAAAUUUUAUGAUUAAAACGAUAAUAAAAGUGUGAUUAACAAAAUUGGAAGGACAAAUAACAUUUUCGUGUUCUUUAUUAUCUUUAUCUCAUCAGGUACAUCUCUUCAAUACAAUUAUAUACAAAUGAGGUUUCAAUGGUCUCUGUUAAUGGGGAAGUUUAUAUCCUUUGAAGUGUUAUGAAUUUAUUGAUGAAUCAUUAGUGGAGAUGAAUGUAUUAAUUAAUUUAUUUAGAGGGAUGAAUGUGUACAUCCGUAUUCCAUUAAUUUCAUAACAUUACACUAAAUAGACUCAAAAAAAAAAAUUCUUGCUUUUAUCAUGCAUCUUCCUUUAAUUGAUAAAUUAAAGCGAAUUUUUCAAUUUAAAAAUGUUUAAAUAAAAAAAUCUUCUAGCAUUGUUAUAAAAACAAUAAAAAAAAAAACACUUGCUUUUAUUAUUUCUUGUAUAAGAAAUUGCACAUAUAACUUUUAUCAUGUAUCCUACAUGAAUUGGCAACCAAAUGCAAAGGCAUGACUUCAGUGUUGUAUCACAAAUUAUUACCAUUGAAAAUUCUCCUCUUGCUACAAAUAUUUCAAUUUUUUUGACUGGAGUGAAUUUCAAUCUCCCACUUACUUUCCAACGAGAAAGAAAUGAUUUCACUGUCUGACAGUGUAUAUAAAAUUAAUUCUUAGAUGGUUUUCGUUUAUUAUACCUCAAUCAGAAAGCAAAAGUAAGGGAAUUUCUUUCCCAUUAGGAAGCAGUAAAUAAGGAGGAGAUUGAAAUUCAUAUUGUAUAAGAUGAACUCUUAACUUUUAAGUUUUAUGUACCUUAACAUCUUAAAUUUUCUGUAUUCCCUUUAACUGAAAAUGUAUCAAUCAUUUGUCUUUCACAGGUAACUGUGAUUAGAGUUCAAUAUCUCUUGCCACAUUUUCUUGUUCCUUUAUCCAUUCUCUAUUCUGGUUUGGGCAUUGGCUUUUAUGGAUGGAAAGAACAAUUGCAAUUUGACAUUAUUAUUAUUCUUUCUAAGCUUUGGUCCAAAUUAUCUUACAGCUUUCCGUGAAGUAAAUUUUCACCUCAUCAUUAUAUCCAACAAAGAAGUGGUCACCAACCACCAAGUAAUAGAUAGUUUGAGGAUUCAUUUUACCGGUGCUGUUUUCAUCAAACACUUAAAGUUUAUGGUGACAAUCAAGUGCAAUUAGGUUAAUAAGAUGCUUUACUUGUAAUCAUAUAUAUAAACAACUGAUCACGGAUUCGAAUCAUCCUUAUUAUGAAUAAGAUUCUAAAAUAAUAAUAAUAAUAACCAAGUUUAUGAAGAAGGUUGUCGUUCGCAUCAGUGAUGGAUUAUUCAUGGAUGCUCUUGCUAGAAACUAUGGGAAGAAGGCAUUCUACUUUUACACAAAACAGAAAGAGCAGUGAAAAUAAUCAAAUGUGAUUACCAAGAGGGGAAGGCCUGAAACCUUACCUCAAUAAUUACAUAAAAGAUCAAGUCCUAAUGUGAGUGCAUCACACUUUAUCUAAUCUAAAACAACAUUGGCUAAUGCAAAAAAAAAAGCUUACCAUAGAAAUAAUGAUUACAAGUUGAGAAACAUCCUACAUUAGACAUAAUAUCCGCGGACUGACUACAUUGAAUUGAGUAAACAAGAAACUAAUACCCUCUACCUUUCUAGCAGCUGAACCUAUGUUGAACAAGUGAAAGGUUUGCUUUUCCUGUCCAGACUAUUCCGAAGGGCUCUGAGAACCAUUCUCAACAGUCAACAUAAACAUCAACCAGGUUAUGAGAGAUUAAUUUAAGGCCUUCCAUAUGCUGGUCUGCAGCAUUUGCUCUCGAAGCGCCACCAUCGUUCACUUGCAAAAGGGAGCUUGAAGAAGGAAACAGGAUGUAGACAGAACAUUUGGAGGACCAGGAUGAUGAAGCUUAGUCCCUAAACCUGCAGCAAGCAAUUCAUCUUCUAUGAACAAAAGCAAAGCCAGGAGAGCUUUUAUGUAGAAAGGGAACAACUUCUGCAAGGAAAGAAACCUUCAAAACUAUCAUUUUCAUCUCCAAAGUCGAGGCACUGACAAGUCUGACCUAUAUCCAGAAGACACUGAGCAACCGAGCAUAUACGAAAAUGCCAUCGUAAGGUGGUCAAUGAAGACCUUUUAAGUUAGCAACGGAAUUGACAAAGCAGUAAGCUCAUUCAUGAAAUACUAAAUAGAUUAUCACUGCUCACUAGCACAACACACUAGUGAAUUAUAGAAGAAACAAGCAGCAAACAGCAACGGCUUUAGUUAAUGAAAGAAAAAAUCAACAGCAACCAGCACAAGGAAAUAGCAGAGAAAAGCACCAGGAAAAUAAUUGAGGAUUGUGCUCAAGUCCGUAGCUCAAAAAAAUUCUAGCUUUGGUGAAUAGUAGAUUAUAGGCCAUUCAGAUUGUCUUUAAGUGGGUAACUAGCUAUUGCAUGGAAGAAGAGAGCACCAUUUGAAUUUCUGUUUCUCCUCUUUAGAACCCUAAAACGCAACACAAACAAGAGUAUGGGAACUAGGUGGUCACUAACUUGGUGCAAAAUACCCACAGCAUUCCAAUUUCAGAGGUCAAUCUUUUCUCCAUAACAAUGAAUAGAAUAGUUUGCCAUUUGUGAAAUGAUAGGAACCUGUAAAAUAAAGUAGAUAAGCCUUAGAACUUAAUACAUCAUAUUACAACUAGACCUCACCUCUGGACUUUCAUUCUUGCACUUAGAUGUCGUUUCGCAGUUAGAAGCCAAGACAGUGGGAACCAAGAAGGAUUCUCUCGUAGACACUUUUGAGCAAUCAUUUGAAAGUUUAAGCCAGGAAGAAGCACCAUUUAUCGACCUUGCAGUGCCAACUGUUCCCAAAGGGAGUCUAUCUCUCAUAUUUCUGUUCCGAAUCUCAGCAAACCAUUCAGCCAAUGGCAUCUCUUCGACACAUUCAUAGUUGCUAUCUGAUUUCUCCAGUCCCCUUGGGAUUAUGCAUUCUUCUGUUGAAUUUUCAGAAUUCUCCUCAUACAUAGUCUUGCAACCUUCAUCCAUGGUGCCACUUUUAUCAGUGACCUCUUUCCUUUCUGUUGGAGAAUCUAUCACAUGCUGAGAUGCCUCAUCAUUGCAACUUGACUUACUAUUCCUGAAAUUGUAAAGAAGAAAAGUCCUGUUAUUGUUUUGAGACGCCCAUUAUAUUUCCCAAAACAAAGUGAGUACCAUUUAAACCACCUAUUACCUAAUGAACAAAAUUCAGAGAUGGGAGGCAAAUUAUGUUCUCAAAGUCAUUAGGAAGCUUAUAUAUAUCAGUCCAACCAAAAUUUUUUUACUUCAUGCACUUUGGUAACAGUUAAGAUGAGCAUAACAAUGCUAAACCCUAAUUUUCACUCUUCUCCUUUUUGUUCUUUAAUCAUGCCUACUUUUGCAACUCUCCUCAGUUUCAAAAAAUGCCACAUAUUUAUAUAUAAAUAUUAGUCCCCUAAACCUAAUCAUGCCUAAUUUUGCAACUCUCCUCAGUUUCAAAAAAUGCCACAUAUUUAUACAUGUAUAUUAGUCCCCAAAACCUAAGUACCUACGUAGCAUAUGAAACUCAAAUCUGCAACACUAAAAAGACUGUCCUUGAGGAAGUCAUGGUUUAACAUAAAUAUCUCAGUGUUCACCUGUGAAAACAAAUAAAUAAUCAAAACUGCUACCACUUAUAUUAUGAAAUCAAGAAUCCAUAACUUUAAGGGCAGAAACCAUAAAAAUGGAUCCAGAAGACAGAAAUAUAAUUGUCCCCACACUUUCUUUCACACCCAGGGUAUCAUUUAGUCCGAGUACAAAGAAAAAAAAUGAGGAAUGCUCUUAACCAGGCAGUCCCAGCUAGACACUUGGGGUGGUUUUACCAACUCACCACCCACUAAAUUGAUCUAUGACCCCAAAGUAAGUGACAUGCUCUACAGCAAAAAUUCCCAGUACCAACAACCAAGUUAAUUCACUUCUAAGAGAUUGAAUUAUUCUUGUAAAUAUGAAGCAUCCAACAUAAGUAAGCACCCGGCUGCAAAAGAAUAGAGCCAAAGAAAGCAUAAGAUGACCUUAGAAAAGACAAAAUUUAAAGCGCCUAUUUCUGCCUUUUCUUUAAUUCUUUUUUUUUUUUUGGGUAGAACCAUAAAAUAUGCUACUCAGCUGAAGAGCCAAAAUCUAUUACCAAAUGAUGUCAACAGGAAAACUAUUCUUUUCAUUUGGAACUAAAAGUAGUUGGAUGUCUCACAACUUACUCAUGCACGAUUUGACUUUCAACAGAGGAAAGCAGAGGACUAGAACUCCCUUUCUCACCAUGCUCCGGAAAGCUUGUCACCUGCAAUGACAAAAAGUAUUGGAACGUACUUGAGGUACUAAAUUCUAUGAGGUUUUAAACGUCAACAGAAAUUUUGUGAUUACUACAAGGGAAAGACAGUUGUGGAAAUAGUUCUCAGAUUUAAUGGAUCCUAACCAAGAUGACUCAGGGAACAUGGUAUAAAGAGCACAAGACAGUUUUACAAAGGCAAUCUCAUCCCACUCUGCCAGAACUUAGAUUCAUUGGCAGCAUACAGCUAUAAAUUACAGAACUUUUUCCAAUAGAUUCAUUGGCAACCCACAGCUAUAAAUUACAGAGCUUUUCCAAUUGUUUAUCCUUUCAAAUAUAUUCCAACCCAUGUGGUUUAGAGAACAAGCUUCUCAUAUUAGGCUCACAAGAUGGAUCAUGCAUAUACUAACAGCUUUGUGUUAACAAGUCAAAUACCACAUAUAAAAAGUGUAUAUAUUUCAUCUCACAAAUUUAAUCAGUUAAAUGUACAGAAAGUAAGAAUUGUACCAAUAAAUGUGUGUGUGCCUCUGUGUGUGUGUGAGAGAGAGAGAGAGAGAGUCAUUGUAGCACAGGUAAUUAAUGGAAAGAAACCAACAAAGAGCAUUUAGACUAUUUUUAAAAAAUCGAUUUACAAUGAUGCCAUAACAUGCAUAAGAAUUGGUUGAAAUUGCCCUUUAAGCAGUUUAUUUUUUAGUAUGCAAAAGACUGAUAAAUAGAAACUGGAUGCAUCAUCUUAUUUACACCGUUCUAUGUUCUCUCACUUCCUCUAUUUCAAUCAUUUUCGUCUUCUCUAUCUCUUUUAGAAAAUACCUAAGGUAUACUCCAAAUCCCAAAUUGGCUGUUGUCACAAAUCAAUCCUGGUAAGAUUUCAUGCAGGAAAAACUUCAUCUCUGGCAUAAAAAGGUUGAAUAUCUGGAACUUUUAGUUCUAAAAAUCAAAGUCCAGGCUCACAAAAGAUUAUUAUUCAGUAAAAACUAGUAUGUCAGAUUUUCAUGCAUGAUCACCAUCGAUAUCUAUCUAUACAAUAUAUAAAGUCAGAGGGAUAGCAGUUGGUGUAAUUUUUUUUUUUUUGGUCAUUUUUUGAACUUCCAAUUUUAUCCUUAUAGAAACUAAUUUUUACCUUAAUUAACUAAUUACAUUUUGCCAAAAUAACUACUCAUAACCACCCUAAGUAUUGUAAUUACCAAUUACUAUAACCUUAUAAAUCAAAGUUCUUUAAUAAAUUCAUAUAAAUUGUAUUUAUGUGAAAUACAAAAUUUAUAUAAUAUUAAUUCAUUUUAAUUAUUUUUAAAUUGAACACACAUUGACUGUGCCCCUAAAAAUAGCUUUUUUAAAGUAUAUACAUUUAGAAAGUUAUAUAGAUCAGAUUACUCUGCAGAGUAUCAAAUCAGAUCAUAAAUAAAUACCAUAUCACAAGCUUAGCCCCUGUUUCUCAAAAUGAAAGUUUUAAUACUUAAAAAGCGGUGUUGAAUACUCAUCUCAAAGUUUUAAUUACGAAAAAAGGAUAAACUAGUAUACAUUAGUGUAGAAAAAGAGUAACACCUGUAUGCCAUUCCUACCUUCCACUCAGUUGGGCACAAUAUGACUUGCCAAUGCAAACAAGACUACCAAAUAGUCAGGUAGUUUACAGAACCUAGAAUGAACGAAUAACUAAAGAGUUAAAGCUUAUUAAACAUAGAAAGAAUGCAGGUAGAUAGAUCCUUGUUUUCUUACACUUUCUGCAUAAAAAGAGUAUGAGUUAGUCUUUGGUUUAACUUAUCAGAUUCUACACACUCCAUGGGGCAGCCAUCUGGAUAAAUGGGAAACAAAAAGAAGGGAAGCUUACCCAUUUACUUAUCAGACAACACCAUCCGAUGUUUACGGCCAAAUGAAUGACAAAGAACAGUUAUGAAAGUUAAAAAGGGAAACCGAAUACCCCUGCGCUGAUGAUAUCACAAUAACAAUUUAACUACAUAAAACUCAAAGGAAUAGAGAAGCAUACACGUGGAAAUUGAUUCAUUAUACCAGGCAACUUCCAAUCUUUGAUAUCAGUAACUCAAGCUUGAAGGAUCCAUAAAUCUUCUUCUUUCAAUGAGUCAAUAAACUUUCUAAAGCAUUUGCUCCCAUAAUCAGUACCAAUAUAAAACAACAUAUUAACAAGUAACUUGAUCUUAGAAGUUAAAACAGUACAAACUUCUAGAAUGUCAUCUAUUUACCUCCAUAAUAAGUGUUAAAAGGUAAAAUUAUACAAAUUACAAAUGAUUCCACACAAAAGGCAGCACAAGUCUAGCAAAAAAGACAUGUAUACUCCCUCAUGAUGGAUCUCAUGUCUGGUAAUUUGCCCAUACACCUAUGGUAUUUGGGACCUUGCACAGUAGGGGCACAAAGAUAGAUCCCCUAGAUAACAUCAGGGCAAUAACAUAGAUCCAAGAUCUAAAAGCUGGGCACUUACAAUCCAGGUCGACAACCAAAGUCAAUAGCGAAAUAAAAGUAGCAAUAGAAAUUUUCUACUUAACCAUUCUACAUAUGUUCAUCUCUUAUCCUUCCAGAUAUAAUACAACAUUGAAAAAUUGAACACGAAAAAAGAGUUGUGAAGCAAGAAGAUACAGAUUCACUUGCAAUGUUCCAAUUAUCUUUCCCAAGGUGCAAUUCUCUGGCUCAAUGUCAGUGUGAGUAAACUAUAUACCUUGUUGAGCUAGUUUUUUCUUCUCAGAGUGAAAAAGAAGAGCAUAUUAAAAAUUUGGAUGAUCACAACUGACUGGAAAGCAGUUUUUGAGCAACAUUUAGUUAUGGAAUCGUAAUCACAAGAAACAAGUCAUGCAUGCAUCCUUUGACUGCCUCUAUUCAGACAUUUCUAUCCCUAUUCAAGAAAAUGCCAUAAAAGAAGACAAUCAUAGAGUUGGAUGAUGAUUACAGAGUUCAAGAAAAAUCAAAAGAAUCCCAUUAGGAACAGCAGAAAUUAUAAAACUUGACAAAGAGGUGAAAUUUUUAUUCAGGGUUUGUUUGAAACAAUUAAAAAGGUACUUGUUGCUGAAUUUAAAGAUAAAAUUAUCAAAAUAAACAGAACAUUUUGUUUCUACUUUUCAGAGAUCUAAUGAACAACAGCACAAAGAACAAGGCAGGAUGGCAACAGCAAAUAAGGCAAAGCAUAAUACAGGAAACUAACUAUUUAAUUCUCCGUCAGUAUAUACUUCUUCCAAAAGAAAAAAAAUGUUCCUUUUCCUAGUAUGAAAUUAUUGAUUUACCAAAAGUUUUCACCAUUACCAUUUCUUCCUUGCCAGCAAAGCUGGGAACGCUUGCACUAUGAUAACUUGUUUCAGACGUCACUUUCGAAUCCUCAGCCUUGGCAAACUCUGCAUGGGAAGUGGUUAGAGUGGACUCUGGUAUCGAAAUUGUCAACUCCAAAGAAGGUUCAGUAGAAGCCUCUUUUACUACGUUAUAGUUUGGGAGGUUGAGCUGUGCAGAAGGACCAUACAUUACUCUUGCGGCUUUAUCAUAUGCCAGGGCAGCUUCAAUUGCAGUACCAAAUGUACCCAACCAAAGUCGACUACCCUUUUUGGGUUCCCGUAUUUCAGCAACCCAUUUACCCCAUGUCCUCUGCCUGACACCUCUAUAAUUAUGACGAGAGUUCUCAGGACCUCCUUUACCUUUCAUACAUCCCUUUUUUGACCCUCUCCCUGGAGCUUUACGCACCAGCUUACCAUUGGUAGAUUCAAUUUUAUCAAAGUACUCUUUCCACUUGUUAAGAGUCUCAGACACAUGUUUUGAUGCAUCACUCCGGCGCUUGGAAUUCUUUCUUCCAAAAGGGCCCAGCGUCAAAGAAGUCUCAUCAGAAGCUGGUUUAAGUGGACUCAUUCUUUUUUAUCAUGACAAAGAAGAGUUCCACUAUAACUCACUGUGAAAAGUAAAAGGUGAGAUCUCAAAUUCUCUCAUUUUUGACAAGAUUAACAUGCAGAAACAAAUACACGCACAUACAUAAAUAAAUAUACACAUACUAUACAUAAGAACAAAGCUUCGGCUGAUUACUUUGCAUAAUUCCAUGUAUCCAAAAAGAAGAUCUAUAAGAAAACUUUACAACUCCUCACAGGUCAUCAAACUGCUAUGCAUGGCAAAACCAUGGUCGAAUGGAAAUAAAACCUUCAAGUAAACUGGCCGCUGACUAAUAAUCACUAACACCAACUAUUUUCUGAUAAUUAUCAUCAAAUUUCCAAAACUAUUAGUUCAGGUUGUGAUCACCAAGCUUCUUAUCCCUUCAAACUAAAUAAAACAGUUAAUCGGUAAUUUGCAAGUUAGUUAGCUAAACAAACACGGCUACUAGUUUCUUUUAUACAAGUAUUCUCUCAAACAGUCCAAGAUGCGUUUAUUUCAGCACAAAUUCUCCAUAUCUAGUACCUCUUUUGAAUCCUUCCAAUUUCUUGUAAUCCAUCCCCUUACAAAGAUUUUCUUUCAAGGAGUACAUAUGUUUACCCACAGUUAAACCAAUUCUUCUUAUCCUUCCCCAUUCAUUAGAUUUUUUGUCCAAAUAUGAAAAAAAAAAGUCUUUUCCAAUUGAUUAAGUAAAAAAAGGAAAAAACAAAAGUUGAAUCUGAAUAUCAAUACAUAAACAUUGAACUAACAAUUAUAAUUCCUAAUUGUGCUGAUAUCAAAGCAGAAUACUAAAGUAAGCACUACAACCAAAAUAAGCAGACCCCAGAAAUAAAGGAAACGCAAGAACAAAACCAAAUUAAUACUAGUCUCUCGUUUAAAUUCAAAGUUAACAAAAACCCAUCUCAUAAGCUGCAAGAAACAUAAAAUUAACUGCAUGCAAACAAAACCCACAACCCAGAAAUAAAUAUUUACACUUUAAUUAACUUGUUCUAUCAUAAGCAGUUAUACAAAACCGACAAGAAUUUGAGGGAAAAUAAUUAAAGCAUCCUUUUUUGCAUCAUGAAAACAAAAGAAUUCAUGCUGGGGUUUAACUGAAUUUACCUCUGAGAAUUAUUGAAUGAGAGCAAAAAUUCUAUUUUUUUCCCCCUUAGCAAAUUCUCUCUUUCCCUGUUUUGGUGUGUGUUUCUGGGGGAGAGAGAACGUGUGUUUAUGUGUGUGAAUGUGACAAUUGUUUUCUUCGGUUAAAGUGGCUCUGGACGAGGGAAAUUUGCAGUUGUUAGUCCUUCUUGUUUUCGAUUAGUUUCGGUUUAGUCCCUCAUUUUCCUAGUUUGGCGCAUUCAGUCGUUCAAGUUUUGGAUAAUUAUUGAUAUAAUUUUUAAGGGGUCAGCGUCAAAUACUUAUUCUAAUAUGCGGAACAAUAAUUACUAACAAAUAAGUUAUGUUUGAUUUUUAAAAUUUUUUAUUCAUGAAUUUUGCACUAAUGAAGUUUUUUUUUAGAAUAUUUUAUAGUACACAAAAAGUUUAAAUAGUUUUAUAACAGUGUUGAAAUUAGGACAUGAAUGAAGUUAUAAGUACAAUUGAAUCCAUAUUCGUAUAAAUCAAGUAUUCUAAUUAUUAUUGGAAAAAUGAAAUAGAUUUGAUAAUAUUAAGCUUAAAAAUUGAGAACCUUUCACUCACUAACUGAAAGUACUUGAUGAUUUAAAAAAAGUUAUUUCUUUUAAUCCCUUAUUCUAAGUUAAUUUUAUCUAAUAGUUAGAAAUAAUUGAGCAAAUAUCACUACAUAUUAUGCCAUAAUUGAUUUACUCGCCAAAAUUUGAACCCAUGGACGAGAGAAUCCAACUUAAUCCAAGUGCAUGGCUAAACUUUUCAUGGAGUGACAAAUCAACAUUGGAUUAAUCUAUUCAUAAUUUUUUUUCUAAGUGAAAAUGCAAUAACUUGAACUACCCUUUGGAUACUAACAUUACUUUAGCUUUUUAUAUUUUAGCUAAGUACAUUUUACUCUUAUAUGUAUAUUGUAUUUAUCUCAUCUUUUGUUUCUCACAUUUAAAUUUUCGUAAAUAUUCUCUCAAAUGUUAUGUCGCUAGAUAUUUCAAUAUAUUCCUAUAAAUAAAGCAAUCUUGUAAAAAUAAGGAACUAAUUGUGCUAAAAUUCAACUACAAAGGUGCAAAAUUCUACACCACCAAAACAUAAGCAGCUACAAUUUUCUAACACUGAAAUACAGGGGGCUAAAUCCUUUUAAAGUGAAAUAGAGAGGACAAAACAAAACUAGCAGUAAAUAUCAGGGACCAUCAUUAAAAUUGGUCUUGGUCGAGUACCCCACCUACUCAUCAGAAAGUCGGUGGAUAGCGGUGGUUUUUUUUUGGAGGGUAAAGCUCACUGCUGUUUUAAAUUCGUCAUCUUCAAUGCACUAUUCCAACUUGCCAACUAUAUCACAUUUUCCUGGAAAAUAAAAAAAUAAAUAUGCCACACAAAAAUUGUAUAAAUAUAGAAAAUAAAAGAGCACCACCAAUUCAUAAUCAUUUUUGAACAUUACAAAGAGAAUUUUAUUCAUAAAUUCACUCUGCAAAUAUUUUGCAUCAAAUUUUCCAUAAGUUUCAAUGAAUAUUGACUUAUAUUACACGUCCAAAAUUUUUGUCUAACGAGUCUUCUUGAGAAAACAUAAACUAGCAUAUCAUACAUUUCAGAUGAGAAAUAUAAGCAUAGCGUUCAAAGAAAUAUUAAUCGCACCUCGCUUUUUGUAAAUCACAUUCUUAUCAUUUAUUUUAUUGUAUAUUUAAUACAUGAAAACCAUAUGAUAAAAAUAAUAUUGUGAAUGCGAUUAACAAAAAGUAGAGUGCGAUUAAUAUUUUUUAAUAAUUUAUUACUAUGACUUAUAAAAAUAGUUACAGAAAAUAGGGGAAUCUUGCGGAUUUGUAAAAAGUUCUGAAUACUUCAUCGGUACGUGAUAUAUAUACAAUAUCAAGGAUGAUAAUACCGAGGUGAUCAAUUGAUUAUGGCCACAUUAUGAGACAUGGUUGCAAUCACAAUCUUUUAUUUUAAUGUAUACAUAUAAGUUGGGUAAUAAAAUUUUUCACAUAGAAAUGAUGUGACAUAAAGUGUAAUAUGCCUAUAUGGAUAAGGUAAUUUAUCUAGCUACUCAUUAAUUUGAAGAAGGGAAACAAGAAAAUUACAAAAAUCAAAAGAAUCAAGUCUAGAGCCAAAACAUGAGAAAUGUCAUCAUUACACCCAUGGAGUCUUGCUUCAACGGCUUUGAUUAGUCUUGAUUUCACCAUACAUCUUCACAGGGCAUACAAAAAUGACAUCCAAGACCUGUCUUGAUGCCAAAACACAAGGCAGAGAGCAGCAAUGAAGAGAAAAAGGAACUAAAAUUGGACCUAUCAGAUUGUGACAAUGCUUCCAGCAGACUAUUGUAGCUGAUUGUUUCAAUAUCUAGCUCUUCUUUGCUUUGUUGGUUGACCAUGUAGGAUGCCUAAUAACGAACGGCAAACUAGUUGCUGAUUCAUUACAGCCACCUAUAUCCACAGCAUAUAGUAUUUCAUUUCUCCCCAUGUAUUAAACAACUUACUGACAUAAGAAGUUCUGGAACCAGACUGUUGAAAGUCUGACCAAAAGCCUAUUCAAGUGUUUGUGACGAAGUACAAAAAUUGACAUACUUGACUAAACUAGAAGAUGCCCAGAGGAGAUAGAAAAUCUCAAAGGUUCUAUUCAACAGGGAAGUGAAGGUAAGUGAGUAAUCUCAAUGUACCAAACACAACAUAAAACUAAAUUUUCUGACUUCAGAUUUUACGCGUGAAAGUAGAAGCAAUGUGUAGAGCAUAUCUGCUUGCGAAAUAUCUGUACAUCUCUCGAGCAUUUGAAGGAAUGCUUUUGGCGCUAGUUCCUGCUGAAUUGAGUUCUAGGGGUGGACCAUGGUGUGUUGUCAUCUGCUUCUUCACCAAUGCUCAUUAUGUCUUCAAGUAUUCCCCCUGGAAGAACAGAUUGAAUCCUAACUGUUGGUUUCCUUGGUGGCAAAGAAGGGAUUGGAGCUUCCCCUUGAAGCAUCCUUGCAGCUUCCCUCAUGGUAGGCCUCUUCUGAUGAUCAGGGUGCGUGCAGCAAAGUCCAACCAUGAGCAUCCUUCCCAUUACUUUCCUGUUAAAGCACCUCUUCAGUUUAGGAUCAGCAGCCUCAAUUAAUUUUCCUUUCCCCCACAAUUCCCAAACCCAAUCAGUAAUCACAAUUCUGUUGUCCUCGACUGGCCUCCUACCUGAUGCGACUUCCAGUACCACGACACCAAAGCUGUAGACAUCACUUUUCACUGUUGGAACUCCGGAAAAGACAUACUCGGGAGCAAGAUAUCCCAUUGUUCCAGCUGGUACAGUAGCAUCUCGCAUUUCGAGACUGCGUUGAUACACCGCUGCUAAACCAAAAUCUCCAAGCUUGGCAUUGAACUCAGCAUCAAGCAUUAUAUUACAGGCCUUAACAUCCCUGUGGAUUAUCUGAUUAAUGCACUCUUCAUGCAGAUAUACCAGAGCAGAGGCCACACCAAGUACUAUGUUUGAUCUUCGCUCCCAUGUGAGGAACUUUGUAACACUGCUCCGGCCAUGCAGGAUCUUAUCCAGACUUCCAUUAGGCAUGUACUCAUAAGCCAGGACUAACUCAUUCCUCUCGCAGCACCAUCCCUUGAGCUGAACUAAGUUCUUGUGUCUCAAGCAGCCAAUCAUUGUAGCAAAUUCAUUGUCAAAAGGAAUACGCCAGGCCUCAUCAAAUGAAUUGUGUGAAGGGCCUAUGCUUUUUCCAUGAGUAAAUCUCUUAAUUGCUACAUUUCCACAGGAAGGAAUUUGUCCUUCAUAUACAACUGCUGAGGCACCUUCACCAAUAAUUCUGUCCUCGUUGAACCCCUUUGUAGCUUCCUUUAUCUCUCUCAGUGACAAGUAUUUUGGUACUUUAUAGCUCUGAAAUCUGCCAACAUGAUAUUCAAUGUGCCGCUCUCUCUUGGCUUUGCUUCUAUUCCUCUUUAUGCAACAUAAAAUAACAAACAGAGCAACUGCAACUAGAAUUACUGUGAUUACAGCUGAACCUCCUAUGACAAGAAUCAAUCCAAAUUUCCAUUUUCUUGAACGAUCAAAAUUUAGGUCAAGAUCCCCUGGAAAGCACGCCAGACAAUCCCCUUCUUCAACUGUAUCCAUAGACAAUGUUGAAGAUUGAAACCAGAAAGUCUUAAAUCGCCAACGACUAAUACUAUGAAUAGCUGAUCCUCCACCAUUAGAAGCAGUAAAUCCCACAUGCAUAAAUUCUUUAAAAUCGCCAGUAAAAUCAGCCUGAGCAACAAGAAUAGGACUAAGUGGCCUAACCUGAGAAUAUCCCACCCAUACCCUGAUCAUCUUCUCCGAAUUUCGAUACUCAAUCCAAGCAGUCAUCUCCUUUCCAGCUUUAAGAUCAAUCCCUCUUGAGACGACGUCAACAGAAGCCAAAGAUUUAAUUUGUCUCACAUCAACGCCAACAUGGUUCCCAUUGAUAUCAUCAAAAAAGGGAUUAUAACUCGUGUCAAAUUCUACAGCAAUGAAUGAAUCUUGAAUGUUGGAAACUUCUUCCGGGAGGCCCAUCCAACCGUCGGUAAUGCUUAAAGAAUCCAUAUUGGAAGUGACCAGAAAUGCAAGUCCAUCUCCAAAAGGGCAAGAAGGGGUGGGGGAAAUGUUGAAUGAAAAGCUGCAAGAGAAUGAAGCAGCAGUGCCUUUGGAUGAAGAAUCAAGAAACCGAAUUGGGUUGAUGUAAAAGGCUCUGCCAAUGCCUGAAAGAGAGGUGGAAGAAGCUGAUUCUAGGGUGGAUUGUGAUGGCAAAGUGCAUUCGUGAUCUUGAGUUAGUCUGAUUGAAUCGUUCUCAACGGAUGCAUCCCCAAAAAGGGUGACAUUGUUUGCAGGAAAAUAAAGUGGAGCUGAGGAAGACAAAGAUGAUGAAGUGUAGGCAUAGAGAAAAAGAAGAUAAGCCCGGAUGAGUAUGGUUGAAGAUGAACGCAUUCUGGGAAUUUGGAGCUCAAGAUUCAAACUUUGAUCAAGAAAUGGAAAGUUGAGAGUUCUCGGAGGAAGUUUUCUCAAGGAUUUUCAUGGGUUGAUUUUGAUCUUGGGAGCUCAUGAGAAAUGACAGAUUGGGUGAUUUUUCUCCAAUUUACAACCAGGGAUUUUGGAGAACGUUGCCAAGAAUCAAGAAAGUGAAAAACCCCGUUGAUAACUGCAGAAAAAACGAAGAAAAAUGAGGAGGGGAGGAGGGGAGAAGGGGUUGAAUCUUGCAAAUUGAAACGUGGAGUGGAAAAAUAUGGCGGGGAAAUCAGUUGUAGGCUUUGGAGUAACCGGAAUGUUAGGGAGCGCAAAGAUUUGGUGUCAGAGGGACUUGGGCUUGUCUUGUGGGCUUUUUCUGUGUCGUUUUUCUUUUUUCGUUUUUGUCCAUCUGCCUGGUUUCACCUAGUAGUAGCAACCUUCUAUUGCUAUUAACAGGCCUCAUUUUUCUGGGUUAAGAAAAAAAAUUUCCAUUUUUUAUUUGUUUUAGGGGGUGCUUCGUUAGUGCUGUCUAUUUUUUUUUUAAGGUAAAAAAAAAGUUAGUAGGUUUGACUCCAAUCACCAGUAAUAAAAAGAGUUUUCUACUUAAAUUGGACUUUACUUUUUUAUUGAAAUUUAUAAUUAGAAUAUGCUUCUAGAACUAUGGGUCACCUAUGGAGAUUCUUACAAAUCGCCUAUCAAUACAGCUCUCACUUCUUGUAAAGCUCUCACUUCUUGUAAAGAAGUAACCCGUCCUUAUCAAUUGAGUCAACUUAUGUUGGCGAUAACAAAAGAUUAAUUCAAUUAAAAUCUGAAAGAAUCGUAUGCUUCGUUUAGACUUUUUCUUAGGUAAAUGUAACAGGUUUGCUCAGCACCAAGAAGGUUUCCCCUUCAAUGGAUUUGCUGUUUUUUUGCAGUAAUAACCACAUGAAAAGCAAUAAAAAGAACCCCUUUCAAUGGUUCUCUUAGCGAAUGAGCAAUGAUGAAACAAGCCACGUACAAAACUACAGACAUAGAAUUUACCCUGUUCAGGGGUGAUUCUCUGGUUCUGUGCAGGGUGCACAACUUCAUGCUUACUAAGUACGUCAAGAAGUAGGCAGUAGGUGUGAGCAGAAACCACAUUGCUUGAAGGAAAUCCAAUCCAAGGACAAGAUUAUUACAGAUUUUUCCAUACAUAAAGGAUGCGAGGACGAACACAUUUUUUUUUCCCUGAUAGAAGACAUAAUCAUUAACUCAAGAACAAUUAGAAUUCCGUCUUCCUGUCUCUCUAGUAGGCGUUCAGUUUGUACGAGCUGCUGUAAAUUAAGGGUCAUAUGGGGAAUUGUGAUGGAUACAACAAAUUGUUUGAAAUGCUUAUGACAAACAAAAGCUUAGUUUAAGAACAUUUUCAGGUGUCAAAAGACUUUCAGCGGAACUUCAUCAUCAUCCAAGAAAAGCAACCAAAUGAAUCCAAGAACUUCAGCAUUUGAGUUCAACAGAGGUAGCUGGAGUUUUAUAUUGGAGGAAACAACUGGGAUAACAAGAAUUUGUAUCAAACUGCAACUCAGCCAAGUCCCAUCUUGAGGCAGCCAUUUAAGAUCGCUACAGUGGGUAGCUCCACCUCAAUUUUUGUCUCUACCACCACAUCACACAUGUUGCCCUUCUUGCUGUUGAUCCGUCAAAUGUUACACUGCCUAUGACUAACAACUCAUCAAAAAAUGAAAAACGUGUAGAUGUGUCGAAUUACUGCAAUAUCAUUACAGGGGUAUAAGACCAUUUUGAUAGGUGCAGACCAAAAAAUGCCAAGCAUGAAGAUCAUGAAGUACCAUCAAAACCGCAAUUGUAACAUAAAAUGCAGAAAUAAUGAUGAAAAGCAUUAACAUCAGAAGAUCUUAAACAAGAUUACAGGCAAAGGUUUAGAGCAUGUGGAAAAGUGCAUUUAUUAUUGGAAACUGUUUCACCAAGAUACUCUCCAUGACCAAGCUGAGACAUAAGAUAUAAUAAGAACACAGCCAUUUAAGUGCUUCUUGAAGAUGUUCAAAUAUAAGAUGGACUGUAAUUGAUUGAGCAACCUUGAACCAAAAACACACAUGGGUCCAAUCAGAUGCUAGACAAAUUAAUAGUUCUGUAUGGUCACCCCCAUACUUUCCGUGCAACCCACAUUCUUGUAAACCAUGAGACUUUUAUAGGGAGCCAUUAUCCAUCACUCUCCACUUUGUUUCCUCCAAGCAAUACAAAUAUUCCUCUGUUUUUUCAACAGUGGAAUUUCACCCUUCUACAGUGGUCUCACAUGGCAGAACAAUCUCACAAAUAAACCUACUGGGCUUAAAAAGACAGCUUGGCACAACAACCUUGCUCAAUUCUAUUGAUUGUUCACUUAUCUGUUUUAAAAGGCUUUCAUGGUCAGCUCAUUCAUGUUCUCAGUUCCCACUAUCAAUCAUAUUCAUGCUCAGCCCUUUGAUUUGCUUAUAACAACCUUAGCAUGAUAAGGUUCAUGAACCUGAAUAAGUCAAAUUCGAGCUCAUAAUUGUUUCAAACUCAUACUGUAUGUUCUAAAAUGCAAUUUGAGAAAAUAAAAACAACAGAAUCAAAUUCAACUUUUGAAAAUAUGCACACUUUCCAGGCAUUAGUCAUCAUAAUAAAUAAAAAUAAGAAAAUAAGUAAGAUUAACCAACUUUAAUUUUUUUCACUUAAAUUAACUCACAAAGACUACAAUGCUCAGAAAAACUCUUUAGCUCAAUUUUUUGCCAGUUAACAAUUCUCAAUGCAGUUGAAUCUAUAGGCAAUGGGCAUAAAUAUCUCUUCAUUAUUGGCUCAGUUCAAAAGAAAAGUGUGAAAGCUCCAACACCCGGCAAUGUCAGAAUAAUAGUACAGACAUUGGACCUUUUAUAGGUCAAAGCAGUCAUAACAUGAUUAAGAGAUAAAACUGAUGCAGGAUGUUACAAUCUCCUUGUUGUUGCUGAUUCAAGUUCACUCACAUCAUUACAGAAUCUAACUCCAAGUAAGUUGUUGAUAUAUUGCUUAGUAACCAUACUGAUUGACAUUUCCUUUCUUUAAUUGCUCCUCAUUGCAGACCUUUAAUCCAGCAGAUAACCCAAGUCAAGCUUAAGCAUGUUUACAUGGAAUCAAACAGAAUGGUGGACUGGUUAGCUAAUAUGGGAGUGGCAUAGGAAUUGGAUUUUUUUUUUCCCUUUUUUCUUGUAUUCCUCAACCUGUAGUUAACACAUUUUGUAUAGAUGGAGCACAAUGAGAUAAAUUUCCUUGAAUGAUUGUAACUGACCUUUGGUUUUUCAAUUAAUGAACUUCUUUUACCCACCAAAAACAAUAAAAGACCGCCUAACACUACUUUUCGUCUUAGCUUUUGGCCUUCCUGAGCCUUGCAUAUCACCAUAACCUGCUCAAGGCAAAAGCGCAGUGACAAAGUGACAAGGAAUUUUCAGAUCUUAAAGUGAAGCAAAAUCAUAAACUCAAUAGUUCCUACAAAUGGCCAGUCUAAGUAAGUUUCUACAAAUGCAUCUUCUGUCAUUGAUCCGACCUGCUGACAGAAUAGGGUUUCGAUUAGUUCCUAUAAUCAGACACCAAAUUAGAUGGACGCAUACUACAGUUUAACUGACAACUUGCUCCCUUAGCUACUGACGAAGGUUUACUUAUGCCCCAAAUACUAACAAACCAAAAUUUUACACAGAAAGAAGAAUAGUAUAGAAAUCACUCCAAAUUAGGUACGUUAACAGAAGUUUUAUUAGAGCAGAAGGACUUUAUAAGGUUUGAUUCAGGUAUUCUUUGUAAAGUAUAGAAUUUUCGACAAGAUAUAAUGAUCUGUAGACUACAUGAGAUUCAAAAAAAUACAAAGAAACAGAUACCAUAAAGCAGCAUCUCUGAAGAGGUCAAGCGUUCUUAAAAAAUCAAGCAUAAGCAGUGAAGAACCAGAAGAAAGGAUGCGUAAAUUAAUAUAAUUGGAAAUGAAAAGGAGGAAUUACCCAGAUGCACUUGCAAAGCACCUCGUUGCCACUUUAUUCACUCUGAUUGACCGUGGAUGAAGAAUCAAGAGCCAUGUUCUGAAGCUCCUUCUGCUUCAAAUACUGAUGCAAAAUUGUGAGCCUAGCUGUCUCAAAGGCAAAGUAACCAAUUGCAGAAAAACAGGCACUAUGAACAACUCUAGGCCCCAUUCCUCGUGUAAACCCUAUCCAGCCUUCUUCCUUCAAAAUCUGUUUAACAGUAGCUGAGACACCACUAUACAUUACAGCUGCAACCUUAUUCACAGCCUCCCCAUGAACCUGAGUCAUCAAUCUUGUCUUAACCACAUCCAAAGGAGUUGUCAGUGAAGCUGAUAUGGCUCCAGCCAAUGCACCACAACAGACACUCUGAAAUGGCUCCAAAUGAACCUGAUGAGUACUAUUCAAUACCGCAGCUUUAAGAUACUCAAACGAUGAAUAACUCAACACCCCAGCAGGCAAAUUUCUCAGCAAUGUAGCACUAUAUCCAGCAUACAAUCCCAAAAUUCCAUCUUUUUUCAAAAUUUUCAAUAAAACCUCCCAAGACCUCCCCUUUGCACCAGCUUGCAUCCUCUGAGUAAUUAAUUCCUUAGGUACCAUUAUAGCUGAUGAAACAAUAUUCCCCAUAGCCCCAGCAGUAGGGGGUAUCAAAACAGCUGGAUAUUGAGGGAUUUCCGACAAAACUGACUUUCCAAACUCACAUGUCCCAAAAUACACAGCAGAAGAAGCCGUAGAACCAACAAUCACCGCAGAAACUCCACUAUAGAACCCCAAAAUUCCCCUGGUUUUGAAGGUCUUAACAAUGGCAUCAACUGUACCACUAUAAAUUUCUGAUGCCCCCUUUGUCUGGAGCUUAGUCUUGAUUGUGUCAAGAGGAUGGAGGCAGACAUAAGUGAAUGCACCAGCAAUGCCUCCACCAGCAGCACCCAUGAGGGCUUUUUCCAAAACAGAGAGAUUCUUGAACAGGGCAUAGACUUGGGGAGAGCCUCUUGAGGCUGGUUUUAGCCAAAUUCGAGAAGUGGGGUUUUCUGGGUUUUUGAUUUCAGGUUGAAUGGAGAUUGAAGUCGAUGAAAAUUGAAGAAUCCUUUUUGGGCUGAAAUUUUGACCAUUUUUUAUUUUCUCUGCUUUACAUGGGGUAUUUGUGAGGCGACGGAGGGAUGAGGUGCUGGUGGAUAAGAGGGUGGUGUUAAGAUUGUUGAAGAGGGUAUUGAAAUCUUGGAAAGUUGAUGAAGUUUGUGAAUUUGAUGAGAGAAAGCCGAGGGGUUUGCUGGUGCUAAUUUCCAUUUGUGGGGAUUGGUCGCUGCUACCAGAGUUGUUUCAUUCAGGUCAUAAUGAGGUGAUGGAGAAUACUUGGGAGGCGUUUGGAUACUGUGUCGGAAAGCCAGGUGUAGAAGCAGCCAAGUAGGUACUAGGUAAAGCAAUCUUGAAGCAUCUUUUUGCAUCUCUUCCAAUCACUCAAUUUAGAAAAUUUUAGAAUAAAAUCCAAAAACCAUCUUUAAACGAGACAUGAUCUAUGGGUGUGUUUUUUUGUUGAAUUGAGGGCAACAUAGUAACAAGGAAAAGCAACAUAGAGAUUAGAAUGAGUUUGGCCAAGAAAUUAGGUUAAAGGCAGUUUAUUAUGGUGUGAAAUGCAGUAAUUGAUAUGUUAAUGUGAUUUCAUUAGAAGAGAAAUAUAUGCAAAACUUUUGCAUCGCAUUCUUGGAUGAAGAGGAAAAAAUCCUUCUUUGUUCUUCACUGCACAUUUUUUCAAUGUAUCUAAAAAGAAAAUUGCUGAUGUUUGUUAAGAUUUUUGUGUGAAUUUGCUAACCUAUAUGAUGUAAAACACUAAAAAAUCUAGAAGCCCUAAACCAUCACUGUUGUCCACUUUUUGCCCAUGAUCUAAUUUUUAUCUCCCACUGAAUUUUGAACAAGUAAAAGUGCAUAAUUUAAAAACUUCUGGCCAUUUUAGACGCAAGUCCAUAUGGAAUUGAAAGGCAUUUUUGUCCACCCGUAAUCAAAAGCAUUGGGAGCAAAAUUACAAGAACAUAAUCAUCUCUUUCUCUCAGAGAACCAACUAUUUUUCAGGGAUUUGUGGACAAAUUGAUGGUGAGAUUAAAAAAAAUUGAAGGGUUUUCUUUUUUUAUUAUGAUUGGCAAAAAUGUCCUUCGAUUCCAUGUGAACUUAUAUCUAAAAUGGUUAGAAGUUCUUAAACUAGAAACCUUUGAUUGUUCAAGAAUCAAUCAGAGACAAAUUUUAGAUCAUGGAUCAAAAGUCAACGAUGUGAUAGUUUAGAGGCUCCCCAGUUUUUUUUUUUUUUUAAAUUACUCAAACAUUGCUAAAUUUGAGCAAUAAUAAGUCGAUGCUAGGAGCCAAGGCGCUGAAAUGGAAUUGUGGUUUGUUAAUCAUAGUUCUCAUCUAUCCUGCGUCUCUAAAUUCUCAAUCGGUUAAUUGACCAACAGACAUAAUAAGGCUUAGUGAUGAUUGCUCAGGAGUUUCCCUUUUAAGAAAACAAAAUGAUAUAUGUGUUUUGUGUAUAGUUUCUCUAAAACUGAUAAUCCAAUUGAAGAAGAUUUUUUCUUUUCAUAGCUUGAAUUUUUGCUCAAUCAACAUACAAGGCGGAGGAAGUUGCUCCGGUAGACAUCUGGUGCUUUACUAAUAAUCCUUUCUACUUAAUAAAAGUUAAUAAGAAUUUCUUAUCAAAAUCACCCUCCUGAUUAAGUUCUACAAUUUUUUUUCGAAGACGACAACAGUUGUAUAAUCUAAUCUAUGCUACACUAAGGGGGAGGGGGUGGACCUAAGGAGACCCAGAGAUAAUCCGGAGGGAACUAAACCACCACCGGAUCAAACGGGUGCACAACACACCCGCCUGAAUUUUUUUGAAGCAGACCACUUAAAUGUGGCAUUUUGGUAGAAGGCAAGGUCCACCCCACAAAGCUAGGUGGUGGCCAUCAGCCCAAAGUUCUACGUGUUUCAGCAUUUUCUACUCUCAGUUUAUUGGAUGCCUUGUAAAUUUCUUCUAGAGUUCAUUUUUGUCUCUGUUUUUCGUUUGAAAUUCCCUAAUUGGAUCACAUCGUUGCCUGUUCAGAAGGAAGACUUAGCCCAAUCUUGUCACGUCCAAUAACAAAAUCAGCUUCAUUCUUGUUCUUUUUGUACAUAAACAAAGAGGCCCAAUCUAGUAUUUUGACAGGCUAUUGACCCAGGUUAAAGCCAUAAGCUAGUUCAUCUGGCUAUUGUCUAACAUCCAUCCAAUGCCCCCUCCCUAAGACCGAGAAAAGUAAAGCCCAUUUUCUAUUUGGGAAAACUUGACGUUCGCUAACAUCUUUUGUCUACCAGUAAACCUAGUCAAAAAUUGAAAAUGAAUAUCAUAAUUACAAGAUUCAAAAUCCUAAGCAACUACCGUAGUAUUAACAAUAGAGCAAUUGAUAGUUGCAAGAAUAAGCUAGCAACAUAAAUUUCAAGCCAUUAGACUUUACAAGCAUCAAAUAGUUUCUUUUGUAAUGGGAGAGAUGUGUUAGAUGGUACAGGAGGAGGGAGUGUAAAUGAAAGAUUUCGAGUUCGAACUCCUACUUACACUUAUAAGUAGCAAAGAAAUCCAUUUAACUAAAUUUAUCCAUACCCGCUCAUGAAUAAUUGGAUACGAGUAUCUUAAAUUUUUAUAUAUGGGGUAUAAAUUAGUUACCCAAUAAUAUCCACUUAAUAAAUAGAUAUAAUUAGAUAACUUACCAAACCCAAUUAACCCAUUUAAAAUUGUCUUUCCCAAGCCUCCACUCUUCCAUAACCCAUUUAGAGUUUGAGACCUGCGUUUUAUUAUUGAACUCAUUGUUGGAGACUUUCAUGUAUUAAUAUUGCUAAAACAUUGUAUAUAGUAGAAUGUUUUAUUUUUCAGCCUUAACAAAUAUUUGAUGGAUUUUUGACGCAUAUAGAUAUCCUACUUAAUUUUUUUUUCAUAUUCUUCAUUUUGUCAUGAUGUUAACUAUUUUUGUUUAAUUUAUUAUUAUUAUUAUUUGUUGCUUUAUUUUAUCAUUUUAUUUUCUUGUAAUUUGUUAACUAGCUCAUUUGUUAGCAUUACCAAUGUAUGAUAAGUUUUAGCCUCCCUUCCUAUCUUUUCAAAAUGAAAUUUUACAUUCACACAUGAAAAAAAUGCUAAGGAUUCAAAGUUUUUGGAUGAAGUUUUUAUGUUAAUUUUCAUAGUACUUAGUUCAAAUUUUUAUAUUCUUAUUGUUCAAUUAUUAAAUAGCAUGUAAUUUUACAAUAUAGAGCACGGACGUGAAAAAAUUGGUAAUUAGGCUUAUUGAAUAUUAUAAAUAAAUAUUUAAAACUGAUGAUGGAUGCAAAUGGUGGUAUAAAUUGAUAAUUCAGUUUGCAAAAUUGAAUGUCAAUGAGUUUACAAAAAGUUAAAAUAAAUUGGUUACAAAUGAGUAAUUGGGUUAUCCAACUCAUUUUUUUGACUCACUUAUACCUAUUACUCAUUUCAACCCGCCCAAAUCACCCAUUUUGAUACUUCUGCUUACACUUAAAAAAAGAAAAAGAUUCUUAUGUGAAACUGUAGACUUCAUCUAUAGCAAUACUAUUUUUAUUGGGAGAAAGAGAUUCAACUUUUGUAUUCAAACCAAAAUGUGUAUCAUGCAUUUCUCUAGUUUAACUGAAUUUUUCUUCUCUCUUUCCCUUAAAGAGAUCUCUACCCAAAAUUUUCUAGUUCACCUAAAAUGGUAUGGGAGUUGUUAAGUAUUCCAAAAAAAAAAAAAAAGAAAAUAUAUAUAGACGCACACGCAUUUAGAAGUCUUUUAACGUCGCUUUCUUUGGAAGAUGACUUGUUAAUAAUUUUUUUUUUUGGAUCUAUCUAAAGAAAGCAUAUAAUUUCCUGGCUUACGGCAUAUGAUUGACUAACCCUGAAUUCGCAAUUUUCUAACGAAAUUAAAGAACUCUUUCACACUCAUUUUCACACCACGUAUGCAUGUGAUCAAUGGAAUUUAAAACAUGUACUGGCUGUUGAUCAAAUUGAAGCUUUCUAAAGGGAUGACCACAAUUAUUUUCACUUACUACAUUCUUGACAAUGUUUGAGAUGCCAAUAUACCACCAAUCACAUGUGCAAUCAUCCAGAACAAAGCAGAACUUUUGAUUAGGAGCCCGUUCAUAAACAACAAUGCUAAAGCAUUUUGUAGAUAACAAAAAGAACCCUCUACACAAGAAAAUCUUAAAAAAGAGAAGACAAAUGUACAUAUAGCAGGUUCGAGGUUUUGAAUUUUAAUCUUCCGUUCUUUUUUAUCUCCUUGAAUCCCAUCAUUCCUUUGCUAGAAAAAAUUAAAAAAUUUAAAAAAAAAAAGUACAUAUAGCACAAAGUUGAGAGUAUCAAUCGAGGAGAUUUUGUGUAUUGAUGAUUCUUCUUGCACUGUAAUUUCCAAGUCAAAGCAAAAACUUCCCAUUUACAAAUUACAAGUUGGUGGUAUGGUAGUCCACCUUUUCAACUACAAGUAUGCCAAUUCUCCACUAAGAGAAACAAAUGAGUAAACAAGUUGGUUUUUGUCAUGGUUAACCAUUUUAGUCAAUCAAAUACGUACUAACACUAGUCGCUAUUCAACA
rnacentral:lncRNA from 1 species